UACGUAGGGCGCAAGCGUUGUCCGGAAUUAUUGGGCGUAAAGAGCUCGUAGGCGGCUUGUCACGUCGGUUGUGAAAGCCCGGGGCUUAACCCCGGGUCUGCAGUCGAUACGGGCUAGCUAGAGUGUGGUAGGGGAGAUCGGAAUUCCUGGUGUAGCGGUGAAAUGCGCAGAUAUCAGGAGGAACACCGGUGGCGAAGGCGGAUCUCUGGGCCAUUACUGACGCUGAGGCGCGACAGCGUGGGGAGCAAACAGG
rnacentral:rRNA from 1 species